CACCUCGCCACUCUACUCUCCCAGCUCACAGAAGUGCCGCGGAGCACUCCCUGCUGCCUCCCGCCCGGAGGAGCUCCACCUCUAUCCGUGGUCACCGGCGGGUGGCGCGGAAGAACUGCCGGUAGUAGCCACCGUCGUCGGGCGUUCGCGAGCGCCGCCGGAGAAGGAGCCGUUCAAGCCAUCGCCUCGAGGACCUGCUGCCCCAUCUAUCUGGACGCGCCCCCGGACUUCCCCGAGCCGCCGCCACACCCUAGAUACUUAUGCGUCGACCCCAAGGCCCUCCCGGUAAGCUCCCGAUCACCAUCGUCGAGCACGUACGCCCAUGAAGCUGUGUUCCGGCGCCAAGCUCUCCUGCGACGUUGCCGCCGACUGUGAGCAAGCCUGCGCGUACAAGAAGACGAAGCCGAACCUCCUCCGCAGUCCCGCGUCGUCCCUUCGUCGCCUCCGUCGAGCACCGGCCGUCCCAGAUUUGAACGUUGACGGGUUUGAAGAAGAGGAAGGAUUCGAAGAUCUUUGAAGAAGACCAGGGACAAAUAGCCAUUCAAGGCAAGCCAUCUUUUGAUCUCUUGCUAAUUAACCUCUUUGUUGUGUUCAUUGUUCCAUUAUAUGCUUGGUUCCUUGUAUCUUGUGUUAUGAUUGGUCCUCCACUAUGCAUACUUGUUCCCAAGUAUGUUAAACCCCUUGUUGAUGUUAUGCAUGCUUACCCUAAGCAUGUAUGCCCCCUUGACCACAUAUAUUAUCAUCUUCUUAGUGGUAUGAUG